GACGAACGCUGGCGGCGUGCUUAACACAUGCAAGUCGAACGGUGAAGGGACCGGUUUUUGCUGGUUCUGGAUGAGUGGCGAACGGGUGAGUAACACGUGAGUAACCUGCCCCCUUCUUCUGGAUAACCGCAUGAAAGUGUGGCUAAUACGGGAUAUUCUGCGCCUGCUGCAUGGUGGGUGUGGGAAAGAUAUUGUUUCGGUGGGGGAUGGGCUCGCGGCCUAUCAGCUUGUUGGUGGGGUGAUGGCCUACCAAGGCGGUGACGGGUAGCCGGCCUGAGAGGGUGGACGGUCACACUGGGACUGAGACACGGCCCAGACUCCUACGGGAGGCAGCAGUGGGGAAUAUUGCACAAUGGGCGCAAGCCUGAUGCAGCGACGCCGCGUGAGGGAUGGAGGCCUUCGGGUUGUAAACCUCUUUCGCCAGUGAAGCAGGCCUGUCCCUUUUGUGGGUGGGUUGACGGUAGCGGGAUAAGAAGCGCCGGCUAACUACGU
rnacentral:rRNA from 1 species